UGCCAAGGAAGACAAGAUUUAUCCGCGCUACCGAAUGCACCAUGUGGAUAACGAUAAAUAAUGGUUGAAUUUCUUCGGCUGAGGUG
rnacentral:snoRNA from 1 species